CAGUCUCCGCGGUAAUACGGAGGGUGCAAGCGUUAAUCGGAAUUACUGGGCGUAAAGCGCGCGUAGGUGGUUUGUUAAGUUGGAUGUGAAAUCCCCGGGCUCAACCUGGGAACUGCAUCCAAAACUGGCAAGCUAGAGUAUGGUAGAGGGUGGUGGAAUUUCCUGUGUAGCGGUGAAAUGCGUAGAUAUAGGAAGGAACACCAGUGGCGAAGGCGACCACCUGGACUGAUACUGACACUGAGGUGCGAAAGCGUGGGGAGCAAACAGGAUUAGAUACCCCCGUAGUCCCUGUCUCUUAUAC
rnacentral:rRNA from 1 species